GACGAACGCUGGCGGCGUGCUUAACACAUGCAAGUCGAACGGAAAGGCCCUGCUUUUGUGGGGUGCUCGAGUGGCGAACGGGUGAGUAACACGUGAGUAACCUGCCCUUGACUUUGGGAUAACUUCAGGAAACUGGGGCUAAUACCGGAUAGGAGCUCCUGCUGCAUGGUGGGGGUUGGAAAGUUUCGGCGGUUGGGGAUGGACUCGCGGCUUAUCAGCUUGUUUGUGGGGUAGUGGCUUACCAAGGCUUUGACGGGUAGCCGGCCUGAGAGGGUGACCGGCCACAUUGGGACUGAGAUACGGCCCAGACUCCUACGGGAGGCAGCAGUGGGGAAUAUUGCACAAUGGGCGGAAGCCUGAUGCAGCAACGCCGCGUGCGGGAUGACGGCCUUCGGGUUGUAAACCGCUUUCGCCUGUGACGAAGCGUGAGUGACGGUAAUGGGUAAAGAAGCACCGGCUAACUACGU
rnacentral:rRNA from 1 species